AUAAAGAAAAAGUUGUCAUUUGCUCUUUCAUUUUUUCUCUUCUCCUCCACCGAAAUAUGCAGCAAAGAAAGGGUUUUGAAGCUGGAAAAUUUCAGCAACAUAUUUCCCUUGCUUAUCAAGGAAAUCAAGAUUUGGACCUACAACGGAAAGAAAUCGAUUAAGGGAUGAUUAUGUCCUUUUUACCUUUGUGGUAUCAAGAUUGUUGACUUCAGUUACCUGCUCGGGUUGGAGUUCGCUAGAGAUAUUAUCACACUGUCGAGCUAACACUAUGGGUGUAGUGAUUUCAAAUACUUUGAGUCUAUGGCAUGUAUAGGUGUGUAAAUAUUAGAGUAUGUGAUCUGGCUUUAACCAUAUGUGUUGGCCUGUUUUGAUUAUAGGGUUGUAAAUCCAUUUUAAUUAUGCAUGAAUGUGCUAUGGUAUUACGUGAUGAGUUUAUAAUGAUUAAAGCAUGAAUUUUCCAA